GACGAACGCUGGCGGCGUGCUUAACACAUGCAAGCCGAACGGAAAGGCCCUGCUUUUGUGGGGUGCUCGAGUGGCGAACGGGUGAGUAACACGUGAGUAACCUGCCCUUGACUUUGGGAUAACUUCAGGAAACUGGGGCUAAUACCGGAUAGGAGCUCCUGCUGCAUGGUGGGGGUUGGAAAGUUUCGGCGGUUGGGGAUGGACUCGCGGCUUAUCAGCUUGUUGGUGGGGUAGUGGCUUACCAAGGCUUUGACGGGUAGCCGGCCUGAGAGGGUGACCGGCCCCAUUGGGACUGAGAUACGGCCCAGACUCCUACGGGAGGCAGCAGUGGGGAAUCUUGCACGAUGGGCGGAAGCCUGAUGCAGCAACGCCGCGUGCGGGAUGACGGCCUUCGGGUUGUAAACCGCUUUCGCCUGUGACGAAGCGUGAGUGACGGUAAUGGGUAAAGAAGCACCGGCUAACUACGUG
rnacentral:rRNA from 1 species